rnacentral:rRNA from 1 species
UACAGAGGUCUCAAGCGUUGUUCGGAUUCAUUGGGCGUAAAGGGUGUGUAGGCGGCGCCGUAAGUCGGGUGUGAAAUUUCGGAGCUUAACUCCGAAACUGCAUUCGAUACUGCGGUGCUUGAGGACUGGAGAGGAGACUGGAAUUCAUGGUGUAGCAGUGAAAUGCGUAGAGAUCAUGAGGAAGACCAGUGGCGAAGGCGGGUCUCUGGACAGUUCCUGACGCUGAGACACGAAAGCGUGGGGAGCAAACAGG